rnacentral:lncRNA from 1 species
GUCUUGCAGAAGCAGGAAAAGGAGCUUCCAAGAAGGCUGGUGUGAGGAGAGGAGUGUAUGUGGCAGCCUAAGCCACUCAGAGGACCUGGCCUACGGGGUCCCACAGGGAACAGAUGGGCCACCAAAGUAGCACACUAGAGGGUAGGGAACUAAGCCACAUUCUCCUUUCUUUCAGCCCAGCAGCUGGCAGGGAUCCUGAGGAAGGACCCCACGGGUACAGGUCCAAGUCCAGGGAACAGGCUGAGGAGUCCAGAUGUUGAGUUCCCAGGAAGGCCACUGAGACUGACAGGCAGAGCUGGGCCUCAGGCAGAUGUUGAAUGGGGGGGCAGCAGCAAGACAGCCAGUGUCCAGACGCAGGAGGAGGCCUCGUGUAUGCAGGACAGCCAGCAGGGACAAGGGAAUGACCAGGACUUGGUGGGAAGGGCACCAAUGGCUGGUGAGGCUCUUGAGUCCAGGCCUCUCACAGACUGCUCAGCUAAGCACCUAGCAGAAGAGAUUAGCCCCACAGGACCUGCCUUGGCUCCCCAGAGUCUUCUUGGAGUCUCUGGCCAGUACGAAGCCUGAAGGCAGCCACCUUCCGCUUGCUUUGGGGUUCUGAGCCUCUUUGACCUUCUCUUUCUCGUUUAUCUCACAUCCCCUUACUUAGCUACCAUUUACUGACUGUGUGCCAUGCAGCAGCCCUAUGCCAGCCCCCUGGCAAACAUGAGAUCAUUUAUUCUUAGCAGUAAUCCUUGUUAUGUUUGUGAUUAAAGUGCGACUCAUAAAAGUUGAGAAACAUGACCAACGUUACACAACUAGUAAGUGCUGAGGCCAUGCGUUCAUUCAACAAGUGUUAUUGGGCGCCCACCUUGUGCCAGGGUUCAAAGCUCCAUCCGAAGGCAUCGGUCUAAACCGCAGGCCUCUGAGACCAUUCCUGACCCGCUUUCUCGAUGUGGUGUCUGAAGCCACAAGCCCUUUCCUAACCUGGACUUCUCACACCCUCUCCACAAGGCCGAUCAGAAGGUGUUCGUCCUUGGCCUGGGUGCACUCUCCGAGGGACAGCCACUUCCUUGGGCUGUGGGGAUGUGCAUUCCUGUUUCUGAACCUGGGAUCAGAUGCCAAUGCUCAGGGUUUGGACUUGCACGUAAAUAGGGGAGGUAGAGCUCCAAUUCCAAAUAAAGGGUUUCAUGGAGCCA